rnacentral:rRNA from 1 species
GAUGAACGCUAGCGGCAGGCCUAACACAUGCAAGUCAGGGGUGACAUGAAAAAGCUUGCUUUUCUGAUGACGACCGGCGCACGGGUGCGUAACGCGUAUACAACCUACCUUUUAGCGGGGAAUAGCCCAGGGAAACUUGGAUUAAUGCCCCAUAGUAUAUGGACUUCUCCUGAAGUUUAUAUUAACAUUUAUGGCCAUUAGAUGGGUAUGCGUCCUAUUAGCUAGUUGGUGUGGUAACGGCACACCAAGGCUACGAUAGGUAGGGGUCCUGAGAGGGAGAUACCCCACACUGGUACUGAGACACGGACCAGACUCCUACGGGAGGCAGCAGUGAGGAAUAUUGGACAAUGGGCGAGAGCCUGAUCCAGCCAUGCCGCGUGCAGGAAGACUGCCCUAUGGGUUAGUAAACUGUCUUUUACAGAGGAAGAACCCACCCCACGUGUGGGGGUUUGACGGUACUCUGCGAAUAAGGAUCGGCUAACUCCGUG